UCCAGGGAAGAAUGGGCCCAGAUCGCUUCUGAGCCUGUUCCAGCACCUGUCCCCCUGGUCCCUCCUGGGAGCCCUUUCGGGAGGGGGGCGGGGAGCAUCAUCGGAGGUGCUUUGGGUGUCCCUUCUCCGCCUCGCUCAGCUCCCUCCCCCAGCGUUGUUUCCGUGAGCCCUGAGGGAAGUCACCGAGGCACUGACCCCGGUGCCGGUCCUCCAGCUGCUGUUUAUGUAAUGAGUGGCCUGGUGGGGCUGCUGUGGCCGACCCGAUCCGUGGUGCUGGCAUACCAAUGAGGAAGUAAACAAAAGCAGCCGUGUCCGCAUUAAGCUCUACUAGAAACGCACGGGGGCAGGGGCAGCCUCUGGAAGGAGCGCCCAGCUUCUGCUGUCUGUUGGGGCCCGGCCCGGCCAGCCGGAGCUCCGGUUUGUGGGUUAGUCUCGGGAGCCCACUCCGUGUUCCUAGUGAGCAAACCUUAGGAGUAGGAAUCCUCCUCACCCGGAGUCCGCGCUCCCAGCCCGGCCCGGCCGGGCCCGGCGGCGCGCAGCCCUCCUCCGUUUGAGCAGGGAGGAGGAAGAGGCCUAUGGGUUUAAGGUGGAGCUGCCUUGCAGUCCGGUUCCAGGCAGCUGGCUCCCCUGGGCGGCCGGCCGAGUGACGCUGGAACCGCACCCCCUCCCUUUGUAUACACCCUGCAGCGCAGCCAAUGUCAAAUCCGCCUUCCCCCUCAGGCCCCAGGGCCUGGCUUAGAGCUGGGCGAGGCCAUACUUCCGCGCCCCCCCCCUUCUUUUCUCUUUCUCUCCCUUUUUUUUUGAGACAGAGUCGUGUUGUGUAAAUCGUGCUGGCCUUGAGCUCACUGUGUAGCCCAGGCUGGCCUUGAACUUGCAGCAGUCCCCCUGCCUCAGCCUCCUGGCCCCCCCUUUUGGUGGAGGGCCCUUCCUAGGUCCCUCCCCAGUCCUGGCCCUCAGGCUGAGUCACACCAGAAGGAAGGGGUUGGCCUGAGACCAAGUGAGUGAGCCAUCCCUGGAGUCCCAGUUUAGGGCCUGGGUGUGACUGGGGCCAGGGUUGGGCUGGGAGAGACUGAGUGUUUAUGGGUGGGGGACCCUGGAGGCUGGUCAGGGCCAGUGCGAGGCCUGAGUAUGAGGAAGCUCUGCACAGGGCACUGUGGAGAUAGGGGCUGUUUCCUGGGGGGACCAGCCAACAGUGAGUCACUGUUUAGCAAUUAAACAUACAUCCACAACCAACAAAAGGUUGGAGGGCCACCACAGGCUGUGGGCAGGGCUAACAAAUACAGCUUGCUGUAUAAUUAGUUUGCAGUCUGAUGGGCCAGCUCUGGGGUUCCGUGCCAGGACAGGCCUCUGGCUUCUUAACGGAAGUGGGGGGUGGAGAGGAGCCGCUGCUUCCGUGUCGCCCUCCAGCCUCUCCGCAGUGGUGGGAAGCUGCUGGGUGGAGGAGGCGGCCCAGCUAGUUCUCAGUCCGGGAUUGGCGUGGGAAGUGAGGGGGGAAGGAGAUGUGGCCGGAAGGAGCAGGAGCGGACCGCGCCGGCUGCUCUUCGCUCUUGAGCUGUGCUUUGCUCCGCUGAGUGCUGGAGAUGUGUGUAGUGACCUGUCCCCGUCUCCACUUGCCCUCAAGGAGCCUGUCUCCUGCCUGCAGUGUUCGGGGCUGGGGUGGCGCUUGGGGAGUAUACCCAGGGGUUCGGGUCCGCAGGCCCCAGUCUCACCUGCAGGUCCGGGUGGAAACAGCCCCCGAACUUCGCCAGCAACUUCAUCCAUGUGUGCGCGUGCGCGUGCCUGGUGCGCGGGCUGCGUGGUGGGUUCAUCCGGGCCAGAUACGCGGUUCUGUGUGCUCUGCACCUGCGCCCAUCCGUGGCGGUCUGGGUCUCGCCGUCCUUCAGGCUCUGGACCCUGCCAUUCUCUCCGGUGCCCCAGGGCCCUGGGAGUUGGAAGCCCCUCGCUAGCUCACUGUCACUCCAGUGAGUUUGGCUUAUUGCUGAGGAGGCACAGGGGCUGCCACGGGGGAGAGAGUGAGCCUGGCCUGGGCAGUCAGGAGCCCAGGCUCUCUCCAGGCUGUGCAGGGGAAGGGCCUUGGCCUUGGCCCUGGCCCCCAGCCCUUGCUAGAGGGAGUCUGUCUUCGGGGGCCUUAGCUGCUGCCCUGGAUGAGGGCAGUGGACUGCUCCAGAGCAGCAGUACAGCACGGAGACCAGGCGUAGGCCUUCAAGUCUAGGUCAGUUUCCCUGCCCUCCCAGGGGCUGUGGAUGGGCUGCAUCCAUUGGCCAGAAACCCCCUUCCUGGGCUCAGACCCACAAACUUGUGUACUUAAGUCAUUGGCCUAGAGGGCAGGGGCCGACACUAGGAGGGCAGACCGGUCUCCGCCCUGCCUCUGCAGGCUGGGGUGCUGCCCCGGGGAAACCAGCAUGUUAGCACAUGGCUUGAACCCUGAUGGGCCUAAAACUGCUCUUUGGGACAUGCCUAGACCCUCUGUGAGUUUUACCCCAUGGGGCUGAGGGGGACCUAGGGCCCAGGAUUGGGGUGUCCAGGUAGGCUGAGGCCUGGUAGCCCCGGACAGGCAAGCCCUCUUCUAGUCCCCAGGGUCAGGGAUUCUUCUGAGUUACAGGGAAAGGGUCCUGGAGAAGCGGUGCGUGCACUGGGUCGGUCUAAGUGUGCCGCUGUGUCAUCUCUCGGACCCCAGGUCAGGGUGGAAGUGUUGCCGGGACCCCAUUCCUGGCAUCCUCCCAGGUGCAGCUUUGGAGAGGUGCUUACUGCCCACAAGAUCACAUGCUUGGGCCAGUGUGGGGUUUGUGGCCUCCUGAGGCAAGCGCACCCGGCUCGCCCUGGCGGAAUCUGGGCCUCUCCCUCUGCCUGAGUUGAAGCUGAGGCCCGAUCUGUGGGGUAGGGAGUGGCCGUGCAGACCUGGACUCCUAACGUCUCAGCCGGGCUAGGAAUGUGAGUGUGUGUGUGUGUGUGUGUGUGUGUGUGUGUGUGACAGAGGGAGGGAGGGAGGGAGAGGAGAGAGGAGAGAGCAAUACAAGGAGUCUGAGGAUGGGGCCUGGCUUUGGCCCUCCGUGGACCCACAGAGCGGCCUCUGGCAGAGGCCCUGCCUCGCCUCCUUCCCUCCACCCUCAGACACAGCGGGAGCCCGUCACACUGCCCUGCUGCUGGCUGUGCCUCCUGCAGCUCCAGGGGCUCUGUCUUGGGGGGGGGUGCCUCACAUGUGACUCAGUUUCUCCCUUGCACAAACAUCUUUGCAAAGGCAUAUGCGUGUGCCCGGCCGGUUCCACGGCGGCUCUGCCCGUGUGCGCGGCGGCCGUGCUGCCCAGGCACCUGCACGGGGAAGCUGACUGCGGCUUCACUUCUGUCGCUGUGACUGCCACCGGGUGAGCUGCUGUAGCGAGAGCCUGCUCAGGUCGGGGUGCGGGGACUGGGGGGGAGCCCCUUCCUCUCGAGGUGGGGUGUUGAGGUGGGGCUCCCCACAGGGUGGACUGUGGCCUGUGCUGGGUAUCUGCCUGGCAGCGCUGUGGGGGGCCCCCUGCCCUGAGCCCAGCCGGGCUGACCGGGUCCCUGGCCCUGAGAACCCUUCCUCCCCGGCUGGCCUGGCAUUCAAGCCCAGACAAAGGGGGGCUUUCUCUCGCGCCUCUUUGUUCUGCUGCCCCAGAGCGCUGCUCUCUGCAUGGCAAAAGCUAAUUCUACUCUGCAGCUGGGAAGCCAGGGGUGGGGGCCGCUCUGCCGAGCCCUGCCCGCUACCCUGUCACCACUGCUCGGCUGACACUCCCACCAGGGUUUGCGUGGCACCCCAAGGCAGCAAAACGGGGUGCGGGUGGGGAGAGAAGGGGAGAGUGGCGUGGGCCUUGAGCUCCUGGGACCAGGCCUAGGGGCAGCUCCCCAUGGGCCUGGGCCAGAGCUGGAGGGGGCAGAGGCCAGAAGUCCAGCCCCUUCUCGCCGCCACGGCUGCCCGUCCUGGGGGCUGCCUGCACCUCAGCCUUGAGCCUGCUCCGUCCCAGCCUUGCCUCUCUGCAAGAUUGACUUGCGGGUUUUAUUAUUAUUUAUUAACUCGCACAGCCCCGAGUCCCCAUGCCUCAUCUGCCAGCCCGGGCCAGUCUGGCAGCAAAAAUGCCAUGGGGCCUGGCCCGACAGGCUGCACAGAGGGCUGAGGUUUGUCAGGGUGAGAGUGGAGGGGCUUAGGGGUCCCCCUGUCCAGGCUGGGAGGGCCUGAAGGGAGCCGCUCUAGGACAGUCGCGGAGCAGAGCCCCAGGCCCAGGCGGAUUGGGACGGAUGCUUUUGUCCCACAGGCCCAGGAGCAGGCCCCAGAAAGGCCUGAGGUCCGGAGGGGCGGGUCCUGAGCACUGCCUCGAGGCAGCAGCCCCUGGGUGCUCCACCCCCACACACUUGAGGUGUGGCUUGGCCCAGGGGGCUCCCUGGGGCUGGGAAGUCUGCAGAGCCCUCCCUCCAGUCCCAUCCCAUGCAGAAGCCUACAUAGGAAUGGGGAACUGGGAAACGUGCGCCCACCACAGCAGCGGGCGUUUGUCCCAGGACCCUCGGAGGGCCCUGGGCCCUGCGGUGAAGGAGACACCUCAGGCUCCCAGGGUAGAAGCACUGGCUGCCGGGGCGGGCCCAGCAGUGCCUGGAAGAAGGAAGGCCCUGAGGCGCACAACCCUUGGAGGCCUCAGCGGGAGAUGGGGACAGGGCUGCCGCUGGCCUGCAGAGUGGAAGUGGGCUGGGAACCCGGGCCCCACCUGUGUGGCCCCUCACCUGGGACUCAGCUCAGCACCUCUAGUCUGUACUAAUGGGUAUGUUGUCAAGAAAUAGUUGGGCAGGGAGACCACAGUACAAGGGGGGGGGUGAACGGGGGCUGGGCGCUGGGACAGUACGCGUGCCCUGGACUCUGAGGUGUCCCGGGGCCCUUGUCCUCCUGAGCGUGAGUGGGCGUGGGGCAGCAAGCAGUCAAGUGUUUGAGGACAGCCUGGUGUAGUGGUGCACACCUAUAAUCCUAGCACUCAGGAGGCUGAGGCAGGAAGAUUGCUGAAAGUUUGAGCCCAGCUUGCACUGCAUAGCAAGACCCUGUCUCAAAAAAACCAACAAAAACAGUUUGACGAGGGUUGUUACAGGGCAGGGGUGGGCACGAAGGCCUGGGGUCUAAAGGCGUGUCCUGGGGCCUUCCCUUAACCGUCCUGCGCUGGUCACUGAAAGGUAGAGCUGAGCUUGGGGCCAAGGUUUCCCCAGCUUAGAACAAGAGCCCUGCCCGACCCUCCGCUGCUCCCGGCAUCUCAGCAUCCCAGCAUUCCAGUCUUUGUUUCUGGGGCAGCUAACUGCAUGAUGUGGGCUCUGGCUGAAGUCUUGCUGGCCUUAAUGGCUCUGUCUGUAAAAUGGGUUUGGAGCAUGAGGAAGGAACUGUUGGCAGCUUGGCUUGGGAAGCCAGCCCACUGAGGCUAGGAGCAGGGGUCAUGGCUCAGCCUCACAGGUCACUCUGAGACCCCCACAGGGAGCAGGAGAGCCGCCCGCUGCCGAGGGGACACUUGCUGAGGGUGAAUGAGCGAGGGCCGGUACAGGCCUGCUCUGCACACCUCCCCGACACAGAGGCCGUGGGUCUGCUCAGGGUGUCAUCCGCUCACUGAGGUCUGGCUGUGAAGGGCAGUGGGAGAAACAGUGACCAGGCCCACACCAAGAGGCCUUGUACCUGGGGAGCGGUCACACUGUGGUGCUGAGGCCACCAGAAGGCUCUGGCACGCAGCUGCCACUUAGCGGGCGGUGCAGCGCCACACAUCCACGACCUCUUAUGCCAGCCACGUAGAGCUACUGAGCACCAAAGUCAAGGAAGGUGCAACUGAGGAACUGACGUUUAAGUUCAUCUUAGUUUUAAUUAAUGUAAGGUUAAAUAGCUGCUUGUUUUGUUUUGUUGUCUUGUUUGUACCAGGAUUUGAACUCAGGACCUUGCCAGGCAGGCGCUGUGUCACUGGGUUGUAUCCCAGGCCUACCCGCCUGUGACUAGUGACUGCUCUACGGGACGGCACAGAGGGAGGGCGGGCAGGUGACAGCCCACCUCGGCCAGGACAGGCAGGGUGGUGCAGACUUGAAACGGGGUCAUGGAGAGUUUCCCAGGCUUAGGCCUUGAGAGGAGGGGGCUCUGGGGGCAGAACAACAUCCACAGAGCGCUGGGAGCUCAGAUGCCUGCACACGGGCGACACACAUCCGCCGUCUGGCUGGAGGCGUCAGUGGGAAGGGGCUGUGCUGAGGUCCUCGAAAGCAGGGUGCUCUGGAGGGCUCUCAGCGAGGGAGCGACCCUGUUGGAAGAGGUGUGCAGGGGAGGGCAGGACAGGAGAGUGGGAGCUGUGGGCCUGGGCGGGCAGCCGGGGAGGGCGGCUGUGGGACGGGAGACAGGAGCGGAGACCAGCUUGCUCUGACGCCUUCUAGGAGACUGGCUCGGGUCUUAGGAGAGUGAGCGCUGCUUUCUGCCUGCGUCCCGCUAAGCGGGCAGGAAAGGACUCCAGGGCAAGACACAGCCUUGAGACGCCUUUGGGCUGAGCGCAAGGCCUGUGUUACUGGGAGAAUUAUUAGACGCUCUGCUCUCGGGGCUCUCCCCUGUCAGGUGGUCCUGGGGACAGCAUGGCAUGGUUAAGAACAGGGCAUGUGGAGUUUAAUUCCCGGUACCAAAAAAAAAAA